rnacentral:misc_RNA from 1 species
GAUGAAGAACGCAGCAAAAUGCGAUAAUUAAUGUGAAUUGCAGAAUUCCGUGAAUCAUCGAGUCUUUGAACGCACAUUGCGCCUCAUGGCAUUCCGUGAGGCAUGCCCAUCUCAGCGUUAGAAAAUAUUCUCAAAUUUUAGUUUUGUGCUAAAAUUUGGAUCAUGUCAAGGAAGCUAUUACUAUUAUUGUGAUCGCUCUUUGGAAAUUGAUAGGUCUUUGAGUUGCUACUCAUAGAACGUGAUGAAUCUUUCUUCGUUCUAUUGUAAUUCACUCUGGUAGUCCUAAAACUUGUAUGCCUGUGGCAUAUCUUGUAAUUUGACCUGAGAUUGGGUAGGGAUACCCGCUGAACUUAAGCAUAUCAAUAAGCGGAGGA